rnacentral:rRNA from 1 species
GCAUGCGGCAGCUACCAUGCAGUCGAGCGGUAACAAAGAGAAGCUUGCUUCUCUGCUGACGAGCGGCGGACGGGUGAGUAAUGCUUGGGAACUUGCCUUGAGGUGGGGGACAACCGCUGGAAACUACUGCUAAUACCGCAUAAUGUCUACGGACCAAAGGGGGGUUCCGCUCUCCCCUUUACAUUGGCCCGAGUGGGAUUAGCUUUUUGGUGAGGUAGUGGCUCACGAUCGCCACGAUCCCUAUCUGGUUUGAGAGGAUGAUCAUCCACACUGGGACUGACACUGAGCCCACACUCCUACGGGAGGCAGCAGUGGGGAAUAUUGCACAAUGGGCGCAAGCCUGAUGCUGAUGUGCCGCGUGUGUGAAAAAGGCCUUCGGGUUGUAAAUCUCUUUCACUUUCGAGGAAAGGUUAGGAUGUAAUACCUGCUAUCUGUGACGUUACUGACAGAAGAAGCACCGGCUAACUCCGUGCCAGCACCCGCGGUAAUACGGAGGGUGCGAGCGUUAAUCGAAAUUACUGGGCGUAAAGCGUACGCGUACGGUUUGUUAAGCGAGAUGUGAAAGCCCCGGGCUCAACCUGACAACUGCAUUUCAAACUGAACUGCUAGAGUGUGAUAGAGGGUGGUAGAAUUUCAUGUGUAGCGGAGAAAUGCGUAGAGAUCUGAUUGAAUACCGAUGGCGAGGGCAACACCUGGCUCAACACUGACGCUCAUGUACAAGACGUGGCGAGCAAAGCGAUUAGACCC